UCACCCCUCAAGCCCCGUGCUUGGUGUUGGACGGCCGGUCGAGGCACCUCGACCCCUCCUAAAGACAAUGACGGCGGCCUGUGGUUCCCCCGGUACACUGAGCUUUUAACUGAGCACGUAUCGGACAAGGGCGCCCAGGACCCGGUCCUCUCCUUUGACUAGGAAACUUCUUCAAGG
rnacentral:misc_RNA from 1 species